GCGGAUGUAGCUCAGUGGUAGAGCGCCAGAUUGUGGCUCUGGUGGUCGCGGGUUCAAUCCCCGUCGUUCGCC
rnacentral:tRNA from 2 species